rnacentral:snRNA from 1 species
GUGAAACUGAUACGACUCGG